rnacentral:rRNA from 1 species
GGUUAAGCGACUAAGCGUACACGGUGGAUGCCCUGGCAGUCAGAGGCGAUGAAGGACGUGCUAAUCUGCGAAAAGCGUCGGUAAGGUGAUAUGAACCGUUAUAACCGGCGAUGUCCGAAUGGGGAAACCCAGUGUGAUUCGUCACACUAUCGUUAACUGAAUACAUAGGUUAACGAGGCGAACCGGGGGAACUGAAACAUCUAAGUACCCCGAGGAAAAGAAAUCAACCGAGAUUCCCCCAGUAGCGGCGAGCGAACGGGGAGCAGCCCAGAGUCUGAAUCAGCUUGUGUGUUAGUGGAACGGUCUGGAAAGUCCGACGGUACAGGGUGAUAGUCCCGUACACCAAAAUGCACAGGCUGUGAACUCGAAGAGUAGGGCGGGACACGUGGUAUCCUGUCUGAAUAUGGGGGGACCAUCCUCCAAGGCUAAAUACUCCUGACUGACCGAUAGUGAACCAGUACCGUGAGGGAAAGGCGAAAAGAACCCCGGCGAGGGGAGUGAAAAAGAACCUGAAACCGUGUACGUACAAGCAGUGGGAGCACCUUCGGGUGUGACUGCGUACCUUUUGUAUAAUGGGUCAGCGACUUAUAUUCUGUAGCAAGGUUAACCGUAUAGGGGAGCCGCAGGGAAACCGAGUCUUAACUGGGCGUUAAGUUGCAGGGUAUAGACCCGAAACCCGGUGAUCUAGCCAUGGGCAGGUUGAAGGUUGGGUAACACUAACUGGAGGACCGAACCGACUAAUGUUGAAAAAUUAGCGGAUGACUUGUGGCUGGGGGUGAAAGGCCAAUCAAACCGGGAGAUAGCUGGUUCUCCCCGAAAGCUAUUUAGGUAGCGCCUCGUGAAUUCAUCUUCGGGGGUAGAGCACUGUUUCGGCUAGGGGGUCAUCCCGACUUACCAACCCGAUGCAAACUACGAAUACCGAAGAAUGUUAUCACGGGAGACACACGGCGGGUGCUAACGUCCGUCGUGAAGAGGGAAACAACCCAGACCGCCAGCUAAGGUCCCAAAGUCAUGGUUAAGUGGGAAACGAUGUGGGAAGGCACAGACAGCCAGGAUGUUGGCUUAGAAGCAGCCAUCAUUUAAAGAAAGCGUAAUAGCUCACUGGUCGAGUCGGCCUGCGCGGAAGAUGUAACGGGGCUAAACCAUGCACCGAAGCUGCGGCAGCGACACUAUGUGUUGUUGGGUAGGGGAGCGUUCUGUAAGCCUGCGAAGGUGACCUGUGAGGGUUGCUGGAGGUAUCAGAAGUGCGAAUGCUGACAUAAGUAACGAUAAAGCGGGUGAAAAGCCCGCUCGCCGGAAGACCAAGGGUUCCUGUCCAACGUUAAUCGGGGCAGGGUGAGUCGACCCCUAAGGCGAGGCCGAAAGGCGUAGUCGAUGGGAAACAGGUUAAUAUUCCUGUACUUGGUGUUACUGCGAAGGGGGGACGGAGAAGGCUAUGUUAGCCGGGCGACGGUUGUCCCGGUUUAAGCAUGUAGGCUGGUUAUCCAGGCAAAUCCGGAUAAUCAAGGCUGAGGUGUGAUGACGAGGUACUACGGUGCUGAAGUAACAAAUGCCCUGCUUCCAGGAAAAGCCUCUAAGCAUCAGGUAACAUCAAAUCGUACCCCAAACCGACACAGGUGGUCAGGUAGAGAAUACCAAGGCGCUUGAGAGAACUCGGGUGAAGGAACUAGGCAAAAUGGUGCCGUAACUUCGGGAGAAGGCACGCUGGUGUGUAGGUGAAGUCCCUGCGGAUGGAGCUGAGACCAGUCGAAGAUACCAGCUGGCUGCAACUGUUUAUUAAAAACACAGCACUGUGCAAACACGAAAGUGGACGUAUACGGUGUGACGCCUGCCCGGUGCCGGAAGGUUAAUUGAUGGGGUUAUCCGUAAGGAGAAGCUCUUGAUCGAAGCCCCGGUAAACGGCGGCCGUAACUAUAACGGUCCUAAGGUAGCGAAAUUCCUUGUCGGGUAAGUUCCGACCUGCACGAAUGGCGUAAUGAUGGCCAGGCUGUCUCCACCCGAGACUCAGUGAAAUUGAACUCGCUGUGAAGAUGCAGUGUACCCGCGGCAAGACGGAAAGACCCCGUGAACCUUUACUAUAGCUUGACACUGAACAUUGAGCCUUGAUGUGUAGGAUAGGUGGGAGGCUUUGAAGCGUGGACGCCAGUCUGCGUGGAGCCAACCUUGAAAUACCACCCUUUAAUGUUUGAUGUUCUAACGUUGGCCCCUGACCGGGGUUGCGGACAGUGUCUGGUGGGUAGUUUGACUGGGGCGGUCUCCUCCCAAAGCGUAACGGAGGAGCACGAAGGUUAGCUAAUCCUGGUCGGACAUCAGGAGGUUAGUGCAAUGGCAUAAGCUAGCUUGACUGCGAGCGUGACGGCGCGAGCAGGUGCGAAAGCAGGUCAUAGUGAUCCGGUGGUUCUGAAUGGAAGGGCCAUCGCUCAACGGAUAAAAGGUACUCCGGGGAUAACAGGCUGAUACCGCCCAAGAGUUCAUAUCGACGGCGGUGUUUGGCACCUCGAUGUCGGCUCAUCACAUCCUGGGGCUGAAGUAGGUCCCAAGGGUAUGGCUGUUCGCCAUUUAAAGUGGUACGCGAGCUGGGUUUAGAACGUCGUGAGACAGUUCGGUCCCUAUCUGCCGUGGGCGCUGGAGAAUUGAGGGGGCUGCUCCUAGUACGAGAGGACCGGAGUGGACGCAUCACUGGUGUUCGGGUUGUCAUGCCAAUGGCACUGCCCGGUAGCUAAAUGCGGAAGAGAUAAGUGCUGAAAGCAUCUAAGCACGAAACUUGCCCCGAGAUGAGUUCUCCCUGAGACUUUAAGUCUCCUGAAGGAACGUUAAAGACGAUGACGUUGAUAGGCCGGGUGUGUAAGCGCAGCGAUGCGUUGAGCUAACCGGUACUAAUGAACCGUGAGGCUUAACCUU